GCCUACGACCAUAUCACCCUGAAUGCGCCCGAUCUCGUCUGAUCUCGGAAGCUAAGCAUGGUCGAGCCUGGUUAGUACUUGGAUGGGAGACUGCCUGUGAAUACCAGGUGUUGUAGGCU
rnacentral:rRNA from 1 species